UACGGAGGGCUCAAGCGUUGUUCGGAUUCAUUGGGCGUAAAGGGUGCGUAGGCGGCGCGGUAAGUCGGGUGUGAAAUCUUGGAGCUUAACUCCGAAACUGCAUUCGAUACUGCCGUGCUUGAGGACUGGAGAGGAGACUGGAAUUUACAGUGUAGCGGUGAAAUGCGUAGAUAUCGUAAGGAAGACCAGUGGCGAAGGCGGGUCUCUGGACAGUUCCUGACGCUGAGGCACGAAGGCCAGGGGAGCAAACGGG
rnacentral:rRNA from 1 species